rnacentral:rRNA from 1 species
AUUGAACGCUGGCGGCAUGCCUUACACAUGCAAGUCGAACGGCAGCACGGGUGCUUGCACCUGGUGGCGAGUGGCGAACGGGUGAGUAAUACAUCGGAACGUACCUUAUCGUGGGGGAUAACGCAGCGAAAGCUGUGCUAAUACCGCAUACGCCCUGCGGGGGAAAGCGGGGGAUCGAAAGACCUCGCGCGAUUAGAGCGGCCGAUGCCUGAUUAGCUUGUUGGUGGGGUAAAGGCCCACCAAGGCGACGAUCAGUAGCUGGUCUGAGAGGACGAUCAGCCACACGGGGACUGAGACACAGCCCAGACUCCUACGGGAGGCAGCAGUGGGGAAUUUUGGACAAUGGGGGAAACCCUGAUCCAGCAAUGCCGCGUGAGUGAAGAAGGCCUUCGGGUUGUAAAGCUCUUUUGUCAGGGAAGAAACACCGGCUCUAACACAGUCCGGGAAUGACGGUACCUGAAGAAUAAGCACCGGCUAACUACGUGCCAGCCGCCGCCGUAA